AUUUAUCUUACACUACUUUCAUAGGAAGCUAAGUUUUAUUUAUCAAUUUGAAUCUCGUUUCUCAAGGUCAUUAUUAAAUGGACGUCAUUACUCCAAUUAUAUUCGGUGCUGCAGCUGUUAUGGAUACUGACAUAGGAUGGCAAAAGACAGCUGGCUAUCUGUGUCUAAUCCUGCAGACACUGAUUUUCACAGAAGGAUGCUUAUGCCAGUUCCUUUAGGAGAAACAUUUAUAACAGGGCUUUUCUAAUUAGAGCUACAAAAUCUCUAAGGAAAUUGACUGUAAAGAAUGACCAGGAAGAUUUCCCCCUUGAUGGAAAUAUGCUUUGGUGAAUCCACUGACUGUAAACUUCAGUAUCAUUUCCUUUUGCUUAUGUCAGCUCAAUUUUGCUUCAAAAUAUGGAAGGAAAUUGUUUGUGUACAUCCAUCAGUGGCAUAUAUUCUCAUUAAGCAAUUCCUGAAGUAUUGCUUAGGUUUUGGACAGAACUUAUGUAUCACAAUCUUUAAUUCAAGCACUCUUUGAUUGUUUUCUACAUUGUUAAAAAUUACAUCUAAUAGAAAUUCUAGUUCUCUUUUUUCUUAACUCCACUCUUUGUAAUUAUUCCAAUUCUUUAUACAUAAU
ensembl:lncRNA